rnacentral:miRNA from 1 species
GACGUCGAUAUUCGACGUCAUAAACACGAUCAACUUAGGUGUUUAUGACGUCGAUAUUCGACGUCAUAAACACGAUCGACUUUGGUGUUUAUGACGUCGAUAUUCGACGUCAUAAACACGAUCAACUUUGGUGUUUAUGACGUCGAUAUUCGACGUCAUAAACACGGUCAACUUUGGUGUUUAUGACGUCGAUAUUCGACGUCAUAAACACGAACAACUUUGGUGUUUAUGACGUCGAUAUUCGACGUC